UAUUUGCACAUUAUUUUAUCAGUAUAUUUCUUACCGAGUUUAAAGUCUAAAAUAAUUGAACUCUGUAGUGGUUGUAACCAUGUCCGAUAAUCUACCACUGUUACCUGACAAAGGAGAUGUGAUGUGCACCGAUGUACGUGUGGUCCUCCGGGAGGUGUUCCGUGACGCGGAGUGCCUGCCGCCGAUCGUCACUGACAUUCCACGAGAUCUGCAGCAGCAGUUGACUGGACGGGAGGAAUGGUUGGAGAACAUUGUUUCCCAAACUAAGGGCUUGUACCAGCAUGAGAUGGAGCUAAAGAAGAAAUACGCUAGCCGCCUGGCACGGAAUCCUCUGCCCAACAUUUAUAAGUUGUAUCCACCAGAAAGCCCAUCGGAUCACCAGG